GAUUCAUAAUAACUUUUCGAAUCGCAUGGCCUUGCGCCGGCGAUGGUUCAUUCAAAUUUCUGCCCUAUCAACUUUCGAUGGCAGGGUCUUGGCCUGCCAUGGUGACAACGGGUAACGGAGGGUUAGGGCUCGACCCCGGAGAAGGAGCCUGAGAAACGGCUACUACAUCCAAGGAAGGCAGCAGGCGCGCAAAUUACCCAAUCCCGACUCGGGGAGGUAGUGACAAUAAAUACUGAUACAGGGCUCUUUUGGGUCUUGUAAUUGGAAUGAGUACAAUUUAAAUCCCUUAACGAGGAACAAUUGGAGGGCAAGUCUGGUGCCAGCAGCCGCGGUAAUUCCAGCUCCAAUAGCGUAUAUUAAAGUUGUUGCAGUUAAAAAGCUCGUAGUUGAACCUUGGGCCUGGCUGGCCGGUCCGCCUCACCGCGUGCACUGGUUCGGCCGGGCCUUUCCCUCUGGGGAACCGCAUGCCCUUCACUGGGUGUGUCGGGGAACCAGGACUUUUAC
rnacentral:rRNA from 1 species